AUCGAGGGAGUAGCUAGCGGAAAAUUCCGUGAUAUUGUCGUCAAUCCGACUUGUUUCCGGCAAUAUAUUAAAUAGCGAGACUUGUUUUAAUAAAACAGGUCUCUUUUU
rfam:Streptococcus suis 05ZYH33, complete genome.